rnacentral:rRNA from 1 species
CAAUAGCGUAUACUAAAGUUGUUGCAGUUAAAAGCUCGUAGUUGGAUUUCUGUGCGCCGGUUGUUGGGCCUGCUCUAUGAGGAGGCUCCUUCACCGUCGUACAUCCUGUUGGCAGACCCGCGCAGGGCAUUUAGUUGUCGGCGUGGGGAGACCACUCGUUUACUUUGAGAAAAUUAAAGUGUUCAAAGCAGGCAAUCGCUUGAAUACAUUAGCAUGGAAUAAUAGUAUAGGACUUUGAUCUUAUUUGUUGGUUUUAAAGAUCAAAGUAAUGAUUGAUAGGGACAGUUGGGGCAUCGAGUAUUCUUGAAGCGAGAGGUGAAAUUGCUUGGAACCUUCGGU